AGCCACCAGUGCCCAUUAAUCCAGAUGAUGUGGUAAUACAGGUCACUCCAAAGAGCCAGAGUAUAAUAAUUCUGGAAUUCAGUGACAGUCUUCUGAAUAGCACCAAUGGACCAAUUCAAGCUUAUGGUGUUCUGCUGUCAACUGACUCAAACAGUAAUAUUUCCAGUAAUUCCCUAACAAUGACGUAUAAUGAUUAUCUACAAGAAAAAACAAAAACCUAUCUCGCUGUUUUAAAAUUAAAUGACAAUAGCAUUACCAAAAGCAACAAAAUUACAAUUGAAAUAGGAAGUGAGAAUGAUGAAUACGUAAUUGGAAAUACAGAUUAUAAAAAUGGACCUCUGAUUAAUCAGGAAUACAGGGUGGCCUUGGUUCUGUUCACCUACAUGGAAAUCAAGGACAGGCUUGUGGACAUUCAGCAGUCAGUCUUCUCUAUAACACCUUUUGCCAGGAAAACUGCAAAACCACUGGACCUUCAGUCAAACACUGUUGCAAUUGUUUUGGGGGUGCUUUUGCCCAUCAUCUGCUUUUUGAUCAUCAUUAGCAUCAUCUGCCAUUUGAGAAGGUAUCGGCUUCACCACAACUCUGACCAGGAUAAAGCGAUUACUGAAAGUAUUGACCUGCAAACAACCUAUGUAAAUUUCACCUAGGGGCCUACCUUAGGUUCUGCCUACAAUUUUGUUCAAUAUCUUCUAGAACCUAAAAGAAGCAAAUGCUGAAUCCCCUAAGCUUUUCCAUCCAAGUGCUUCUGUCUCAGUUACAGAAGAUGUUAUCUUACUCAGCUCAUCACUAAAUUUCCAGCACUCCACUUUAACUGUUUGCUUACUUAUGACUGAUAAACAAUCACUAGCUCACAUUAGGCAUGAUGUAAUCUAGUGAAAGUUUAAUUGUGUAAUUUGUAAUCAAUCAUAAGUUGACCCAUGUUCUUUGUAUAAUGUAAAACCUAUCUAUAGGUAUUACCUUUAAUACCUAAUACGCAUCAUAUGAAUUUAAA